rnacentral:rRNA from 1 species
UUUCUAUGGAGAGUUUGAUCCUGGCUCAGGACGAACGCUGGCGGCGUGCCUAAUACAUGCAAGUCGAGCGGACGAUUCGAAAGCUUGCUUUUGAAUCGUUAGCGGCGGACGGGUGAGUAACACGUGGGCAACCUGCCCUGUAGACGGGGAUAACACCGAGAAAUCGGUGCUAAUACCGGAUAACACGAAAUGUCGCAUGACGUUUCGUUGAAAGGCGGCGCAAGCUGCCGCUACAGGAUGGGCUCGCGGCGCAUUAGCUAGUUGGUGAGGUAACGGCUCACCAA